rnacentral:RNase_P_RNA from 1 species
AGUUAGCGAGACAAUCGCUAUUUGAACAGCUUAGCUGGUCACGUAGAGGAAAGUCCGGGCUCCACAGGGUAAGAGUGCCAGGUAACACCUGGGAAGCGUGAGCUUACGGAAAGUGCAGCAGAGAAUAGACCGCCGAUGAUUCAAUUGAACACAGGCAAGGGUGAAAAGGUGCGGUAAGAGCGCACCGCGUUAUUGGUAACAAUAAUGGCAUGGUAAACCCCACUCGGAGCAAGACCAAAUAGGUCUCCACAUGGUGCGACCCGCACGAGGGGACGGGUAGGUUGCUUGAGGCAAGCGGUGACGUUUGUCCCAGAUGAAUGAUUGUCCUCGACAGAACCCGGCUUAUCAGUUAACUCU